GAUGCCCUCGUAAUGGCGAAUGAAGCGGGCUGAGCUCACGCUGCCAAUCCGGAGGCCCCGCGCCCCCUGAAUUGUGGUCUAGAGAGGCGCCAUCGGGCGCGCCCGCCGCUCAAGUCCCUUGGAACAGGGUAUCGGAGAGGGUGAGAAUCCCGUACCGUGGCGGAGCGCGUCCUCACGAUGCGUCCUUGUCGAGUCGGGUUGCUUGGGAUUGCAGCUUGAAGUGGGUGGUAAAUUCCAUCUAAAGCUAAAUACUGGCGAGAGACCGAUAGCGAACAAGUACCGUGAGGGAAAGAUGCAAAGAACUUUGAAAAGAGAGUCAAAGAGUGCUUGAAAUCGGUAGGAGGAAACCCGGAUGGGCCCGGCUUCGGCGUCGCGACUCAGCCCCCUGCUCGGGGGGGUGCACUUUGCGCCGCCGGGUCAGCCGCCGCUCCGGCCGCGGUACAACGGGGGAGCAGGGCUCCGGCGAGCUCCCCUCCUGCCGCGCCCGGGGCGCCGUCUGACGGAACGGGCCCCUCCGACCCGUCUAGAAACACGGACCAAGGAGUCUGACACGUGUGCGAGUACCCGGGUGGCAAGCCCGCGUGCGGAAUGAAAGUGAAGGGCAUGCCCUGCCAACCGACCUUGACCUUCUGCGAAGGGUUUGAGUGGAGCACACCUGUCGGGACCCGAAAGAUGGUGAACUAUGCCUGGGUAGGGUGAAGCCAGAGGAAACUCUGGUGGAGGCUCGUAGCGAUACUGACGUGCAAAUCGUUCGUCGAAUCUGGGUAUAGGGGCGAAAGACUAAUCGAACCAUCUAGUAGCUGGUUCCCUCCGAAGUUUCCCUCAGGAUAGCUUGAACGCAACGGUUUUGUCAGGUAAAGCGAAUGAUUAGAGGCCUUGGGGCUGAAACAGCCUUAACCUAUUCUCAAACUUUAAAUGGGCAAGAGGCCGGGGAUGCUUGACUGAUCCCCGGCGGCGAACGGCGCGUUCAAAGUGG
rnacentral:rRNA from 2 species